rnacentral:lncRNA from 1 species
CAAUGGGAAUGAGUCACGCGGGUAGAUAAUUAUUGCAAAUAUAACGCUGGAAAAAGCCUUAAAUGCAUUAUAUUGGCGGCCUUGGCUCCCCACUGAACAACGUAUCGGUUUGCACACAAAAAACGCGGAAAACUGCAGUACACAAAAAUGUUUCCUGCCGCGCGCGUCUUCGCUAGUUUGAGUGUUUUAGCGGCUUUGAGCUGCGGUUGCCCCAAUCCCGGACCGGACGACCCUCGCCCGCCUGGAGGAAUACAAUGGAUCAACUGCAGCAGACCGAACGAGCACUACUUAUGCGGCUCUGCUUGCCAAAACACAUGCGAAACCUUAGGGCAAGUUUGCCCCAUCGUGAAUAUUCGCUGCAACGAUUCUUGCUACUGUUGCCCGGGCUUCGCCCGGGACUGCCAGGACAAUUGCGUGCCCGAACCGGACUGUCCGCCUAAGGGGACUUGCUCCAACACUUCUAGCUGAUUUACAUUAACAACGUUUAUUCAAACACCUACUGGAUAAAUGUACAUUAUUUCCUCAAUACACGCAACAACAAUGCA